CUCCUUUGAAGUUAGCGGCGGACGGGUGAGUAACACGUGGGUAACCUACCUAUAAGACUGGGAUAACUUCGGGAAACCGGAGCUAAUACCGGAUAAUAUUUAGAACCGCAUGGUUCUAAAGUGAAAGAUGGUUUUGCUAUCACUUAUAGAUGGACCCGCGCCGUAUUAGCUAGUUGGUAAGGUAACGGCUUACCAAGGCGACGAUACGUAGCCGACCUGAGAGGGUGAUCGGCCACACUGGAACUGAGACACGGUCCAGACUCCUACGGAAGGCAGCAG
rnacentral:rRNA from 1 species